rnacentral:lncRNA from 1 species
CUUACAAAUCUCGCGAGACUUUACCAAAUCUCAUUAAGGAUUCCUUCCCAAAGCCAUUUUGUUUUUCAGGGCUCUCUGCAAGGGUACCUGGAUCGAAUUUACAUCAAAGCAGCAGCUGCAGUUGCGGUAGAUCCCUCUGCACUUCCACCAUGUUUCCUUUGGCCAAAAAUGCUCUGAGUCGUCUCCAAGGUGAGCAAAAUCGUGAGCAAGCCAUUUACAACAGCCUUAUAUCCGUGUGUCCUCGUGGUCUUUUCGUUUUUCUUGCUCCAACAUCCUGGCCCUCUAAUUCUACAUGCUGUCUCUUACUUCGUCCAAAGUCAUUGGGGAGAUAUCCGUAGCAUUGGCUUUAUCGUCCGGUGUUUUUGUUUCAUUUCCUGGCUCUGUCUCUGCUAUUGGAGUCAUAUCCUCGUUUUUAUCAUUUUUAGCCUUGUAACCUAUCUACUCUUUGAUUAUCUCUCGCUUUUAAAGUGAUGUCCUACAUUUUAGCUUUGGAUCCACAUUUAUUUCUAACCACACAUAGAAGAACCUUCUCUCCCGUCCCUACAGCUUUAACUGUAGGAAACUGUAAACCCAUCUCUUCACCUGUUUUCAUGGCCGGGAGACUACCUAAAUGGUAGCCUUGUAGACUUAAAAAGUUACUUGCGGGUUGUUAACUGAAUAUUAGUUGCCGUGAGAGCAAUCGUCGUUAUCUUUUUAUCUAGAAGUUAGGCAAAUACAGGGAAAUCUGAGAUCAGCAUCAUGAACUGAGAAUGCACUAGAUUGGAGAGAAAAAAUUUAUUUCCAUAUUUGAUUUGCACUGAAGGUGACCUUGAGUAAUGUGAGUGAAGGUGACCUUAUACAAUCAUCAUUUACUAAUGUAGCCAUACUAAUUUUAACUUUACAUUAGGAGCAUUACUUGACUGUGUUCUAAACACUCAAGCAGUUUUUAAAAUAAAUGAAAAAAUAGUAGCCCUACUAGGUUUCAUAUGCCAAAAGCCGUAUUCAUUAUUUCUUUAACUUGGGGUAAAUUAUUUAAUCUCUGAACCUGUUUUCUGCUUUAUAAAAGAUUAGUAGAUAAAACUUGCCUCAUAGGAUUGUUGACGAUUAUAUGAAAUUACCAAUGUAUGUUAACUAAAUCAUAUAUUUUUUUAAAGAGAGAGAGAGAAAGAAAUUUUUUAGUGUUUAUUUUUUAGUUUUCAUCGGACACAACAUCUUUCUUUGUAUGUUGUUCUGAGGAUGGAACCCGGGCUGCACGCAUGCCAGGCGAGCGCGCUACCGCUUGAGCCACAUCCCCAGCCCCUAAAUCAUAUUUUGUCGCAGAGGACAGGUCUAAAGAAAUCCACUUGGGUAAUCUGUUUAAGUCAGAAUUUUUGGUAAUCAUAAUUUCUUUGCUCUUUAAGCAAGUGGGGAAAUCUUGUACCUUAGGAAUGCUUUUCUGUUUCUUUCAGUGUAGAAUUCACACACGCAUUUUUUUUUUAACUGUUCUGGAAUAGAAUACAUUGUGAAAUGUUUGUAAAUUUGCACAUCCUGGAUGUGAGUUCUUAAAGAUGAAAAUGAAAGCUAAGGUAGUUAGAAGAACAAAAAAAUAAAGGUUAGAUGACUAUCAUGAAAUAACCUGUUGUACCACAUAGAAACCACUAUAUUCUUAAAUGUUAGUGAAUGUGAAAUGUUGCUAUUUCUUUAGUAUGCAGCAUACUUUUUGCGCGCACAUAUCUUGAUGUGUGUAUAUAUACAUAUACAUAUACACAUUUUGAGGCUUUUUAAAACAAUAAGGACUUGCUACUUAACUUGGAGAGGAAGGAAAAAAAAAAACUUCCAGAAUCUCUUGUUUCUUUCCCAAGUUGUCCUUCUCAGUUCCUCCAGGGACAGUUUGAAAGGUUGUUGUACCCUUUCUACAAGAAUAUAGUAAAAGCUAAGUUUUAAUUUUAUCAUUCUGCUUAAAAAUCUUUACUAUCUUCCCCAGCCUAGGAAAAAAAUGCACCUUGUCCUUCAACUAAAUGUAAUUGAUUUUCCAGUACAAAGAGCUUUUCUGUCUCUGCCUCUUUCCCACAUUAACCACCAAAACCUAUCUGCCAUUCAAAGUGCUUAGCUAAUUCUACUUAUAUUGUAGUGAUCUGUGUCUUCAUGUGUAGUAUCCUUUUUCAGACUGAAAGUUAUCUGGUGACAGAUAUCUGUUUCUUUCAUAUUUUUAUAUAUUCUAUUACAGUGUGGUGCCCUAUUCAUUAAUAAUUUGUUGAGGUGGGGGGGUACUGGAGAUUGAACCCAGGUGUACUUUAACACCAAGCUACAUCUCCAAACCUUUAUUUUUUUUUUUUAUUUUGAAGUUGAUGAUGCUGGCCUUGAACUUGUGAUCCUUCUGUCUUAGCCUCCCCAGUUGCUGAGAUUACAGGAGUGUACCACCGUGCCUUACUGAAUAUUAAUAUCUUAAAUAUCCAGAUUACUUUAGUUUUGGAGGGUUUUAUUGUUGUAAUAAUUUAAGGUCACUAACAUUUAGUGUGCUAUAAAUUUCAUUUUGAGUUUUUUUGCCCUUGUAUGUUUUAAGUUUGUUGAGUGUUGUUAACUUGAGUGAAAAUUAAAGUUAUACAUAUUCAAAUUAAUGAGUAGAAGCCAAGUUCCAUCCACUUAGUGAUGUUAUUAGCAUCACUUUUUUUUUUUUUUAAAGAGAGAAUUUUAAAAAAAUAUUUAUUUUUCAGUUUUCGGUGGAAACAACAUCUUUAUUUUUUAUUUUUUAUGUGAUACUGAGAAUCAAACCCAGCGCCCCGCACAUGCCAAAUGAGCGCGUUAGCGCUUGAGCCACAUCCCCAGCCCUAUUGGCAUCACUUGUUACUUGCUUUUGCCCCCACGUUUUAUUAUGAAUAGUUUCAAACAGAAAAGAUUUGGAAGAAUUACAUGAUGAACAUCCACAUACUUACCAUGUAGAGUCUGUGAUUGUUAUAUUGCUGUAUUUGUUUAUUCACAUAUCUGUCCAUUUGUCAAUUGAUCUUAUUUUUGAUGCAUUUCACAGUAUACUACUGUGUUUUUAGCUGCAAUGUGUUUUUAACAUUUUAUUGAACUGUGUUAUACUAUAAUUUCCUUGACUUUUUAAUUGGCAGUAUCAGUUACGUGUUAUCUUUCCCUGAUAAUUGAUAGAUAUACUUAUGUAAUUUUUUUUUUUUCUUUCCUGUAAGUUCGAAGCAUUCAGCAAACAAUGGCAAGGCAGAGUCACCAGAAACGUGUACCUGAUUUCCAUGACAAAUAUGGUAAUGCCAUAUUAGCUAGUGGAGCCAUUUUCUGUAUUUCUGUAUGGACAUAUGUAAGUAUUGUUGAUUGAUAUUUUUUUUUGUGGUUCUGGGGAUUGAACACAGGGCCUACCCAUGAUAGGCAAGCACUUUUCACCGAGCUGUACCCCCAGUUCCAAUAAUUUUGUUAGAUAUUUCUUAUUCUCAUUUGCUCCAUGUAUUAAAAAAUGUUUUAACAAAGUACUACACAUAUGUAGUUAGGAGGGGCUGG